rnacentral:rRNA from 1 species
AAAAAAGGUAAGCUACUAAGAGCGAAUGGUGGAUGCCUUGACUGGUAAAGGCGAUGAAGGACGUACUAGACUGCGAUAAGCUACGGGGAGCUGUCAAGAAGCUUUGAUCCGUAGAUUUCCGAAUGGGGCAACCCAAUGUAUAGAGAUAUACAUUACCUAUAUAGGAGCGAACGAGGGGAAUUGAAACAUCUUAGUACCCUCAGGAAAAGAAAUCAAUAGAGAUUGC